UACUGUGCCUGUGAGGGUCACAUGAUCCCAGAGUACGUACCCCUUGUGGUGAGAGGGUAGUGCUGUGUGUGUUUGGAGCAGGAGCUCAGAGCUGGGACAUAUGCUCAGCUCCCAGGUUGUGCCCCAUAUGAGGGGCAAGCCCUUGGAGAGAUGCCUGCUGGGAGUGUUUCCUGAGCUGAGCCCAACACAGGGAGAUCCUCAUUCAGCAAAGGAUCCUGUACUCUACGUGUGGGCUCCAAGCCAAAUCUCUCCUCAAGUCGAAAAAUCUGGGUGGUUUGGAACCUGUGGAUGCAGCAGUAACCACGGUGGCCUAAAGAGGAGAGGUCUUUCUACAGUCUAGAGGCCAGCAGGCAGGAAGCUUGAGAGUUGGAUGAAGAGCCGUGGAGCUGUCCUGUCAUCUUGUCCAUGGAGGGCAAGACCCUGGAGCAUGUUCUUACAGAUGAGUGGGCUUCCAGAGUCGCCACAUGGACAAAGAGUGCAGAAGACUGAGUCCGUGCUCCCCCUGGACCUGGCCACCUGCAAUCAAAGUGUCCUCUGAAUGAAGGCCGCCUGGGUGGCCUCCACGUGGGAGAUCAGAGAGCAGGGCAGGCCCCUGUGGGCCCCUUAGUGGCCCAUUGCUGACUCUGGACAUUGUCCCAGCUUCAUUUCGCUCAAGGGGCCGCUUCCUCUCCUCCACCAGGUCCCUGAUCCUCUCCCAUGAGGGCGCUGUGGGACUGAGCUUCGUCUACCAUUUAAGGACAUGGAAGCUGGAAGAUGGGGACAUCAGUCAGCACGGAGGGUGAGCCAUUUAACCAAGAUGGGAGCCAGCUCUGAGGAGCCACCUGGUUUCACUGCUGCACACCCAGGGAGCAGUUUUCCAACACCUGUGCCUGGCAUGGGGCAGGGUGUUGCAAAUUCAUCUUCCAAAUGGAGCACCAUGUUUGGAUGCAUCUCAGGCACCUGGUAGGCUCCCGGAAGGCCUGUGACUCCCCACUCUGGCUUCACCCCGCUUCUCUUCCCAGGAGAAAGAUCAGAGUCUAGGGGCUGGAGGAGUCCCAACUGCUGGGGUCUCCAGGUCCCGAAACACCCUUCUCCCCAGAGCCGAGCUAGGCAGAUGCCCAGCCUCACCUCAGAGGAAGUCUUCCUUUCCUUCGGGUCCCCCAAGCACAGCAGAGUGGUACAGUUGUAAUGAUCAUAUAAGCGGGAUUCGCACACCUCAUCCUGCUGCACAGUCAGUUCCACCUCCCACAGUGUGUUGGAAACGAUGCCGUUUUGGGUGAUUUGCCCUCAACUGGCCACAUGGCACACCUCUAUGGGUCUCACCUGGGCUGUGCCCCUGGAGAGGCUGAGGGGCCUCACAGCUGCAGUCAGCUUGGCUUUUCUCUCCAAAUGAUGAGAAAAUGCAAGAAAGUCCAGGUCAGCCACUGGCCUCCUAAGCCUGGACACUGCGAUGGGGCUGCACUGACUUCCCUCUCCCCUGAGCCACUGGGACUAGUCAGGUGGCCAGGAUGGGAAGGAGGAAAGAGACAGGUCCCAGUGGGAGGGGAAGCAAUCUGGACCCAGGUGAGCAAGAGCAGCAGGGAGGUUCCCUUACCUUUAGUAACAUGAUGUCGUUGAAGAAGUCUCCAGGAAUAUAGUCUGAGUGGCGGAUGGCUUCUUUCACAGGGAUGACCUACGGGGUCCACUCUUGAAUCAGGAUGUCGUGGGCCCCCAGAAUCACCCUGACUGAGCUGCAGAGAAAGGAAAGUGGGGAUGUGGGGGCAAUGGGUUGCAGGAGAUCCAGCCCUGGAGCCAUGAUGGGAGGGUGACAGCCAGGGCAGUGCAAGGCUGCAGCUAGGGGAAAUUGAGAUCACUGGAGGGUCCGGUUCUAAGUGACUGUGUGUCCUGUCCUUCUCAAGGACACUGAGAGGAGGGCUUCUGGAAGCUUUCUCUUGCCCUCAGGCAAUAUUGUAAAAAGACUCUGAGUUUGCCUGUUGACCAGAAUGCAUGCUUUCAUCCUCCACAGCUGCUUUAGUUGGCCAGUGUGGUCUCUCUUCUCAACUGAGCCACUUGCUCUCACUUCUGACCCUCGGACUGCAAAGGUUCCCUGUCCUAUUUCUCACUUUCCAUGGACCAGUCACACUCUCAGAUGGGUCCUCACAAGAGCUUUUCUGGCACUGAGUUACCAGAAGCUGAGGGAGCUCCCCUCGGCUGCUGUCCAUGGGCAGAGGACAGGGGUCCCUGUUGUUGUGGUCUCAGGAGUGUCAGCUGUCUGCGGCCCCUCAGCUUCCCCAGCAGUGAGCAGCCGUCAUAACAACAUCCAACUCCACGAGGACACCACCACACGUCUUGGUCAUUCUCUUAAUGGGAACCUGAACCAAUGCCAUGUAGGGGCGGGAGUGGGGCCUGGCCUCAUAUCCUCCAAUGAUGAUUCUGGAAAAGAAAAACUGGAAGAUGGGCUUUCUGGAAGCAGCUGUGGUCUGGAGGGAAGGCUCUGGAAGGUGGCGAUUGGGGGUGGGGUCUACAAUACCCUGCAGAAACCAGGCUAGAGUCCUCCCAGGUUCUCCCUGGAGCAGAAUAACCUUUUCAGGAUGUGGAGCCUCAAACCCCGCUUUGAGAAAGCGGAGGAUGGUGCUUCUUGUCCCUGUUCUGAUUCAGACCACGUAUAGGAGGGAUGAGACCUGUCUUCACAAUGGUGGAGCCCCAGGGGAUUGUGGACAGGGCUCUGCUGAUGCCUUCUGUGUCAGGGAGUCUCCGAACCCUUCCGAGCCUCUGCUAAGAGGCUGACUGGUGCCCGUAUCUAACAAACUGUCCAUGAGCUUAUGGAGUUGGAUUUUCUACAAUCCUCAUGUCCUGUGGGCUAACCUGUCCUGGGAUCUCAGUAAACAUUUUUUGACUGUGUGAA